GGAAAAAGAAAGAGAAGUAGGAACAAAUGGAAAAAGUGAAGGCAGACCUGGAAAAGGAACAACAGAAGAGAUGUGGCCAGGCACAUGCAUCCAAACCUAUCAAUGUUCCAGCAUGAAGAAACAUAGAUAACAACAAAGCAUCUUCUAAUAUAUCAGAAGACUAACAACACAGCGUGCAAAGGAGCCAGCAAACUGAUCCAGCACUGCUGGGCAAAUUCCAAACUAAAGUAUAACAUCACAGAUAUUUUAAUCUGAAAUAGUUUACAGAAACAGAAACUAGAAGAAGAGUGGAGGUGCCAUGAGGAGGAGGUGGCAGCAAAGAAGUCACAAUUAGAGAAAACAGCACAAGAACAUAUUUGGCAG